CGAACGCGAAAGUCCCCCUCGGGGGACAAGUAGAGUGGCGCACGGGUGAGUAACACGUAGGUAAUCUACCUUCGGAUGGGGAAUAACAACCGGAAACGGUUGCUAAUACCGCAUAAUGCAGCGGCACCUAAUGGUGACAGUUGUUAAAGCGGGGGAUCGAAAGACCUCGCGUCUGAAGAGGAGCCUGCGGCGGAUUAGCUAGUUGGUAGGGUAACGGCCUACCAAGGCUUCGAUCCGUAGCCGGCCUGAGAGGGCGGUCGGCCACACUGACACUGACAUACGGGUCAGACUCCUACGGGAGGCAGCAGUCGGGAAUUUUGGGCAAUGGGCGAAAGCCUGACCCAGCAACGCCGCGUGAAGGAUGAAAUCCCUCGGGAUGUAAACUUCGCAAGAACGGGAAGAAUAAGUAGGGGACAAUACCCCCUAUGAUGACGGUACCGUUUGUAAGCUCCGGCUAACUCCGUGCCAGCAGCCGCGGUAAUACGGGGGGAGCAAGCGUUGUUCGGAUUUACUGGGCGUAAAGGGCGCGUAGGCGGCCUCCGCAAGUCAAUUGUGAAAUCUCCGGGCUUAACUCGGAAAGGUCAACUGAUACUGCGGGGCUAGAGUGCGGAAGGGGGCAACUGGAAUUCUUGGUGUAGCGGUGAAAUGCGUAGAUUUCAAGAGGAACACCUGCGGCGAAGGCGGGUUUGCUGGGCCGACACUGACGCUGAGGCGCGAAAGCUAGGGGAGCGAACGGGAUUAGAUACCCCGGUAGUCCUAGCCUUAAAACGAUGAAUGCUUGGUGUC
rnacentral:rRNA from 1 species